rnacentral:tRNA from 1 species
ACUUUCCAAGUAUAAUCAGUAUAAGUGACUUCCAAUCACUAGGGCCCGGCUAAGAACUGGGGGAAAGAA